UAAUAGCAUACUAGAUUAAACUCAAAUAGAAUUAGACGAGGGGCCCGCACAAGCGGUGGAGCAUGUGGUUUAAUUCGAAAGCAACGCGAAGAAACCUUACCUGGCCUUGACAUGCUGAGAACUUUCCAGAGAUGGAUUGGUGCCUUCGGGAACUCAGAACACAGGUGCCUGCAUGGCUGUCCGUCAGCUCGUGUCGUGAGAUGUUGGGUUAAAGUCCCCGUAACGAGCGCAACCCCUUGAUCCUUAGUUACCAGCACCCUCGGGUGGGCACUCUAAGGAGACUGCCGGUGACAAACCGGAGGAAGGUGGGGAUGACGUCAAGUCGUCAUGGCCCUUACGGCCAGGGACUACUCUCGUGCCUACAAUGGGUCGGUACAAAAGGGUUGCCACGCCGCGAGGUGGAGCUACUCCCAUAAAACCGAUCGUAGUCCGGAUCGCAGUCUGCAACUCGACUGCGUGAAGUCGGAAUCGCUAGUAAUCGUGAAUCCGAAUGUCCCGGUGAAUACGUCCCCCGGCCCUGGUACCCACGCCCGUAAUCGGAUCCCGGACCGUCGACUGCAGAGGCCGCUGCAAGCCUUCCCUAUGUGAGUCGUAUAGAGCUGGCGUAUCCUGGUCUGCUGUUUCUGUGUGAAAUGUAAUCGCUCCAAUCCCCCCACGUCGAGCCGAAGCAUNGUGUAGCCUGGGGUCUAUAGUGCUACUCGUAUGGUGCCCCGCCGCUCCGCGAACGUGUCCCGCUAUAAUGCCCCGGAAGGGUCGUGGCCUCCUCCCCGAUCGCUGUUGCGGAGAUCCUGGG
rnacentral:rRNA from 1 species